rnacentral:rRNA from 1 species
UUGUUCAGCUUAUAAUAGUUUUCCACUAUUGGAACAUUGAACUUUUGACCUCAAAUCAGGUAGGACUACCCGCUGAACUUAAGCAUAUCAAUAAGCGGAGGAAAAGAAACUAACAAGGAUUCCCCUAGUAACUGCGAGUGAAGCGGGAAAAGCUCAAAUUUAAAAUCUGGCGGUCUUUGNNNGUCUGANUUGUAAUCUAGAGAAGUGUUGCCCGCGCUGGACCGU